rnacentral:rRNA from 1 species
CUACACAUGCAAGUCGAGCGGAAACGAUCCUAGCUUGCUAGGAGGCGUCGAGCCCCCGGAAGGGUGAGUAACACGUGAGAAUCUGCCCAUUAGUGCGGGAUAACCUGGGGAAACCCAGGCUAAUACCGCAUAAUCUCUACGGAGGAAAGCAGGGGAUCUUCGGACCUUGUGCUGAUGGAUGAGCUCGCGUCGGAUUAGCUUGUUGGUGAGGUAAUGGCUCACCAAGGCGACGAUCCGUAGCUGGUCUUAGAGGAUGAUCAGCCACACCGGGACUGAGACACGGCCCGGACUCCUACGGGAGGCAGCAGUGGGGAAUCUUGGACAAUGGGGGCAACCCUGAUCCAGCCAUGCCGCGUGUGUGAAGAAGGCCUUCGGGUUGUAAAGCACUUUCAGUAGGGAGGAAGGCUUAUCCUUAAUACGGGUGAGUACUUGACGUUACCUACAGAAGAAGCACCGGCUAAUUUCGUGCCAGCAGCCGCGGUAAUACGAGAGGUGCAAGCGUUAAUCGGAAUUA